UUGGUUUAAAUUAUUAUGAUCUACACAUUGAAAAUAGAACUCACACAAAGUGGUGGAACAUACAUUGAUUUCAUCCAA
rnacentral:pre_miRNA from 1 species